UUUAACACUUAGACUGACUCCAGAUCCUGCACUUGAACCCACAUUCUUUUGAUGCUGUGAUGGCUGUGUUGGUGGGAGACCGGGCACAAUGACACUUCUGACACAAUUUCAGACCUACUGAAGUCCAGUUGAGACUCAUGUGGUCUGAUUAAAUGAUUAUCUGAUGUGUGACCACCUUGCUGUAUAGUAGUCUCACCUACACAGUUUUGGCAGGUAAGUCCAACUUAUAUUGUGCAUAAGCGAGCUGGGGAUUUUGGUCAGCAGUACAGUCAUCACAAUGAUGAACUACUGAC